CAUAUCCCUGAUCUUUUUGGUUGCCCUUUUCUAUAUCUUUUCUAAUUCUACUCCAUCCUUUUUGAAAUGUGGAGACCAGAACUGCACACUUCUGUUAACCUAACUGCACACAACUG